GGGGAAGAGCAAGGGCGGAAGAAUAGAAGUCAAGCAGCAGCAGAUGGAAUGUGUGCACGGUCAGGUGGAGGCAAGCUGCUCCUGACUGGUGCAAGAACUGACUGUGUGUGUACUUUGCUUCUCAGUGCUGUGCACAGACACGUGCAGCAAGAACCAUCUCAGAGGGUCACAAGCCCCCUAGAUUUUACCCACAGAAGAUGGUAGAAAAAAGAACCUGUGAUGAAUGAAGAAAGCUGGGGAAAAUGAGGGAAGGCAGGAGGAACCUGCCAGAAACAGGCCAAGUCCCACCAACAUGGAAAUCAGAUCACAAAUGAUUUAGCUGUAAAACAGGUAUCCCAAGUUAUGCCAUGUAAUUCCCAAUUCCAUUCUUUCCUUUCCUUCUCCCUUUCCCUCUUAAGUAUCUGUGGAUAGAAAC
rnacentral:lncRNA from 10 species